CCGCCAGUUUCCACUGCUAACAACAGGGCAUCGUUGACGACGUACUGCUAGGCAACACUUCCCUCUUUCUACGAAGAGGGGCAUUGCAAUUCCUUUCCCAUAGCAAGAAAUAACAAAGUGCAGAACAUCUUCCAUGACGAGACUUGGCCCACCUAUCAGAAGCAAUUGUGCUCCUGGACCUGACGGCGUGGAGUUUUGUCUGGCGCCUACGAGAAACUGAACCACCCUCAUCCUUCCACACAAGACUGCACUGAUUGAUGCCCACGGCAGCCCUAGUGCAAGUGAAAAGAGCAUGCACUAUUUUUACAACACAGCAUUGGUACGCUUAACCAAUGUAGUUGAUACCCAUUCUGAAUUUGCCAUUCGAGAGCAGAUGUUACAGUU
rnacentral:sRNA from 1 species